AUGACGAUCGAGGAGGCGAUAGGCCGUCUCAAGGUCGUCGACACCGACGAGCCACAGCCUCCCUCGGGGCCCAUCACCACCGGCAGGAAGCUGCUCCUAACUCGGGAGCAGUGGGAUCCCAGCCUUGGCGACAGGAAGAAGGGGGAGCCUUCUUCCACGACGGGCGGCCGCAAGCGUGGCAAGCAGCGUAAGACGCGAAGAGGCCCCCCGGGCAGGGCACAAGGACGUGCCGAAGGUGACGCCCGCGGAGGCGCCAAGGACGGCGCCGCUGGCAAGCCCGAGCCGACACAAGACAAUAGUUGCCACAACUGUGGCCGGUUUGGCCAUUGGGCCAAUGAGUGUCGGCAACCACGACAAGGCCAGGCUCACGUCGCACAGGCGAAGGAGGAAGAGACGGCUCUGUUCAUGGCGCAUGCAAGCAUUGAGCUAUCCUCAGCGACACCAGUCGCAAAAGCUCUCAUCCACCUCGACGAGCCAAAAGCGCACGCUCUUCUCGGCGAUGGCUCCGGGAAGGACAAGACUACGGGGUGGUGCCUCGACACCGGCGCCACCCACCACAUGACCGGUCGAAGGGAAUUCUUCGCCGAGCUCGACUCCGAUGCGCGAGGCUCCGUCAAGUUUGGGGAUGCCUCCGCUGUGGAAAUUAAGGGCGUCGGCUCCGUCAUCUUCACCACCAAGGUGGGAGAGCACCGGCUGCUCACCGAUGUCUACUACAUCCCCGCGCUAAGGAACUCCAUCAUCAGCUUGGGACAGCUGGAUGAGAACGGCUCACGCGUGCUGAUUGAGCAUGGGGUCCUACGCAUCUUGGAUCGCCAGGGUCGCCUUCUCGCCAAGGUACCCAGAGGUGGAAAUCGACUUUACGUCCUUGAUGUGCAGGUGGCACAACCGGUCUGUCUCGCUGUCCGUCGGGACGACAAGGCGUGGCAAUGGCAUGAGCGCUUUGGGCACCUUCAUUUUGAGGCCUUGAAGCGUCUAAGUGCCAAGGAGAUGGUGCGAGGCCUGCCAUGCCUCGACCAUGUGGAGCAGUUCUGCGACAUCUGCGUGAUGACGAAGCAGAGACGACUCCCCUUUCCCCAACAGGCGAGUUUUUGGGCCAAGGAGAGGCUGGAGCUCGUGCACGGAGACCUGUGCGGCCCGGUGACACCAGCCACACCAGGAGGUCGACGCUACUUCCUGCUGCUCGUCGACGAUCUCUCCCAUUACAUGUGGGUGAUGAUCCUCGGCAGUAAGGGAGAGGCGGCGGACGCCAUCAGGCGCGCGCAGGUUGGUGUGGAGGCGGAGAGCGGCCGCAAAUUGCGCGUGUUGCGCACCGACAACGGCGGCGAAUUCACGGCGGCUGAAUUCGCGUCGUACUGCGCCGAUGAGGGCAUCCAGCGCCACUACUCCGCGCCGUACAGCCCGCAGCAAAACGGCGUCGUCGAGCGGCGCAACCAGACGGUUGUGGGGAUGGCUCGAGCUCUCCUCAAGCAAAGAGGGAUGCCGGCUGUCUUCUGGGGAGAGGCGGUGCUAACAGCCGUCUACAUCCUAAACCGCUCGCCUACCAAGGCACUCGACGGCAGGACACCGUACGAGGCCUGGCAUGGGCGGAAGCCGGCGGUCUCCCACUUGCGGGUCUUUGGCUGCCUUGCGUUCGCCAAGGAGCUCGGUCACAUCGGCAAGCUCGACGACAGGAGCACUCCGGGAGUCUUCAUCGGCUACGCGGAGGGCUCAAAGGCCUACCGCAUCCUCAACCCAAAGACACAGCAUGUGCGCACGGCGUGA
rnacentral:rRNA from 1 species